GAGGGUGAUCGGCCACAUUGGAACUGAGACACGGUCCAAACUCCUACGGGAGGCAGCAGUGGGGAAUAUUGCACAAUGGGCGAAAGCCUGAUGCAGCAACGCCGCGUGAGUGAUGAAGGCCUUCGGGUCGUAAAACUCUGUCCUCAAGGAAGAUAAUGACGGUACUUGAGGAGGAAGCCCCGGCUAACUACGUGCCAGCAGCCGCGGUAAUACGUAGGGGGCUAGCGUUAUCCGGAUUUACUGGGCGUAAAGGGUGCGUAGGCGGUCUUUCAAGUCAGGAGUGACAGGCUACGGCUCAACCGUAGUAAGCUCUUGAAACUGGGAGACUUGAGUGCAGGAGAGGAGAGUGGAAUUCCUAGUGUAGCGGUGAAAUGCGUAGAUAUUAGGAGGAACACCAGUUGCGAAGGCGGCUCUCUGGACUGUAACUGACGCUGAGGCACGAAAGCGUGGGGAGCAAACAGGUUUAGCUACCCUUGUAGUACACGCUGUAAACGAUGAGUACUAGGUGUCGGGGGUUACCCCCUUCGGUGACGCAGCGAACGCAUUAAGUACUCCGCCUGGGAAGUACGCUCGCACGAGUGAAGCUCAAAGGAAUUGACGGGGACCCGCACAAGUAGCGGAGCAUGUGGUUUAAUUCGAAGCAACGCGAAGAGCCUUACCUAAGCUUGACAUCCCGAUGACAUCUCCUUAAUCGGAGAGUUCCCUUCGGGGAC
rnacentral:rRNA from 1 species